GAGAACAAACACGGUGAUUCUGCCUGUGAAGGGCACAUGUUUCCUCUGUUUGUAACAGAACAACUCAACUCUUGGCCCGAGAGAGAGAUUCAUGAUAGAACUUGGGUGUUAUAAGUUCACAGAGAAAAGGUAAAGUGUAUUACCCAAAGGUAGCAACUGAUCCAUGGCUUUAAAACUUACAAUUUAGUUCAUUUUGAUGCUCUCUCAAAGAGGCAGCAUGGAGUGAGACAGUGAGGGAAGCUGGACUGAAGGAAAAUGUGAAUCUGAACUGCAACAAGAUCAGUUAUAGUAUGUAGAGCUGUUCUUAUUUGACACGAUCUUCAAGGGAGAAAGUGAGAGAGGGAAAAUGUCUUUAUUGAGUAUGCCUGGAGAUUUUAAAGUUGCUAAUGUAUUGAAUAUCGUUGGAGUCGUGGAUGUUGUCAACAGAGAAGCGACUCAUCGAGCUGCAACGAUACAUGCAAACUUGGAGUUUCGCGUUACACUGCAUAUGAAGGGCACAUAUUUCCUCUGCCUGAGAAAGAGAUUCGCAAAAGAACUUGUGUAUGUAAUAAUCCGUUCUCUUAUAUAUUAGUAAAGGUGACACGACAUCUCUCUUACACCAGCUAACGGAGCAAAGGGAACUAUUUCCAGGAAUCAAACGUAUUCCACUGGAGUUGUGUGAAUUAGAAUCAGAGUUGUCAAAAGAGAUGAACCUACCUAUCUUUUGCUAUCAGGAACAU